rnacentral:rRNA from 1 species
UACAGAGGUCCCAAGCGUUGUUCGGAUUCAUUGGGCGUAAAGGGUGCGUAGGUGGCGCCGUAAGUCAGGUGUGAAAUCUCGGGGCUUAACUCCGAAACUGCAUUUGAUACUGCGGUGCUUGAGGACUGGAGAGGAGACUGGAAUUUACGGUGUAGCAGUGAAAUGCGUAGAGAUCGUAAGGAAGACCAGUGGCGAAGGCAGGUCUCUGGACAGUUCCUGACACUGAGGCACGAAGGCCAGGGGAGCAAACGGG